GACGAACGCUGGCGGCGUGCCUAAUACAUGCAAGUAGAACGCUGAAGAGAGGAGCUUGCUCUUCUUGGAUGAGUUGCGAACGGGUGAGUAACGCGUAGGUAACCUGCCUUGUGGCGGGGGAUAACUAUUGGAAACGAUAGCUAAUACCGCAUAACAAUAGGUGACACAUGUCAUUUAUUUGAAAGGGGCAAUUGCUCCACUACAAGAUGGACCUGCGUUGUAUUAGCUAGUAGGUGAGGUAACGGCUCACCUAGGCGACGAUACAUAGCCGACCUGAGAGGGUGAUCGGCCACACUGGGACUGAGACACGGCCCAGACUCCUACGGGAGGCAGCAGUAGGGAAUCUUCGGCAAUAGGGGCAACCCUGACCGAGCAACGCCGCGUGAGUGAAGAAGGUUUUCGGAUCGUAAAGCUCUGUUGUAAGUCAAGAACGAGUGUGAGAGUGGAAAGUUCACACUGUGACGGUAGCUUACCAGAAAGGGACGGCUAACUACGUG
rnacentral:rRNA from 1 species